CUGCAGAGAUCGUUUCGACAAUUUCUUAGCCUACAGCUGAUGUUAACGACAGCAGGAAGUUAUCUAAAACGAAGUGACGGCGCAGGCAGUCAAAAUCAUUCAACUCACGCCCCAGCGACAGCUUUCAAAGGAUAACAUAAUACUCUAAUCUCUAAGGCCAUGCUUUUGCUAUCUGCACAGGGCGGAAGCAAUUAAAAAUUAAAAGACGUCAUAGAGUUUCUUUCUACGAUAAAAUAUAGCGUAAAAUAUACACUGUUCGGUGGUUUGUUUUGCCUCGCAACAUAUAUAUGUAGCUGGGCGUAACACGGCACAAAACAUGAAUUUAUUAGUUAAAAGUUUUUGCAUCACGGAGGCCCAACAACCUCACAAGUAUGCAGGUGGCGCUGUUGUUUUUUCUCAGUCUUCAAGAUGGCGGUCGUCUGUGCGAGCUGUACUGCUAGUGUGCUGCGACGAUGUCUUUGCUUCAUCGUGUGUUUUUGUGUUUGCUGUAAUGAAACGGGACGUAGUUAGCGUGCACAAAAGUGCCAGAAGAUGCCUUGUGUCUCGCUGCAAACUCGCCGUAUGCGUGGCGCGCCAGGCAAAUGUGGACCAACGAUUUUCACGCCGUGGCCUUUGUCUGGUUGUCGUGGAAUGUUGGGUGUACUGUACGUCGAAAAGAAAUAAUCGGUAUUGCUGGCGUGCCUCAGCUCGUCCACUACGCAGCAACAUCUAUGAUGGGAGUAAUGUCGUCGACGCAGCGCCGGCAACUUGGAGAGCGUCGUACCAUUGAAAAGUGGUGAGACCGUGACCCUACAGCAGUGUCCACAUAAUGGCAGGGAAAUGCAGGGAUCCCGCAGCCAUGGCUACAGCAGCACGACGUGUAAUCUGGAUGUCAUGUCAGGGUACACGUGCACUCCAAGACGACGACCCUCCACCUCAAAAACAGCCUCUCCUCAAAGACUAGCAAGGAGAUUAAAUGAAAGGAAAAUACCACAUCCGUACCCAGACAGAUACUAUGUGUUCCUUACAUUUAACCUUCUCUCUUUAAGGAAGCGUGGUAUAUGCUCAAUAAAUGGUUUUAUCA